GAUGAACGCUGGCGGCGUGCUUAACGCAUGCAAGUCGAACGGAAAGGCCCAAGCUUGCUUGGGUACUCGAGUGGCGAACGGGUGAGUAACACGUGGGUGAUCUGCCCUGCACUUCGGGAUAAGCCUGGGAAACUGGGUCUAAUACCGGAUAGGACCACAUUUUGGAUGGUGUGGUGGAAAGUUUUUCGGUGUGGGAUGAGCUCGCGGCCUAUCAGCUUGUUGGUGGGGUAAUGGCCUACCAAGGCGUCGACGGGUAGCCGGCCUGAGAGGGUGUACGGCCACAUUGGGACUGAGAUACGGCCCAGACUCCUACGGGAGGCAGCAGUGGGGAAUAUUGCACAAUGGGCGCAAGCCUGAUGCAGCGACGCCGCGUGGGGGAUGACGGCCUUCGGGUUGUAAACGCCUUUCGCUAGGGACGAAGCGUUAUGUGACGGUACCUGGAGAAGAAGCACCGGCUAACUACGUG
rnacentral:rRNA from 1 species